AGGGAUAUAGCUCAGCGGUACAGCACCUGUCUAGUAAGCAUGAGGUCCUGAGUUUGAUUUUCGGUACCCCCA
rnacentral:tRNA from 1 species